rnacentral:miRNA from 1 species
AAAAGUUCGUUGGGGUUUUU